UUUUCGUUUUUCCGUGUCCAAACGUUUGACCAUUCGUCUUAUUUAAAAAAUUUAUACAAAAACUUUAAAAAAUUAAUCACGUAUAAAGUACUAUCCAUAUUUUAUCAUUUAGUAACAAUAAAAAUAUUAAUUGCAAAAAAAUUUCAAAUAAGACGAAUGGUCAAACAUUGGAUACGGAAAAACGAAAAAUGAGGUUAUU
rfam:Oryza brachyantha chromosome 6, whole genome shotgun sequence.